UGCAAAAUGGCGCCCGCCGCUCCCUCGCGGUGCUGCUGCGCGCAAGGAUCCCGCCGCCGGUCGAAGCACUCUUUCACCCCGUUCGGGCAGCGUCGCGGUGUUGCUCCGCUCGCACCGCGCAUGCGCUGCCUGCAGGAAAAGUAGUCCCUGCCUUCAAUUGCUUCGCCUAGACAAAUGCUACCGUCGAGGUCGGCGGAGCGCCCCGCGCCGCGGAUUGUGCGGCCUAGAGCCGGACUUUGGGGCGGGAAAAGCGCUCCUUUGCCCCUUCGCGAGGCGGCAGCCGUCACAUCCGGUUUAAGAAAAAGAUUGCUAUUAAUCACUGAAAGGGGGGAAAAAAAAGACUCAAUUAAAAUAUUUACAUUCUUCUGCGAGCAAGCUCUUCCCACUCUCCAUCACUCCCUGCAUCCUGCUGUUAUGAAUUUUGGAGCAGCCUGUUUUCUCUCCGAGUCUGAGACUGGUACGUUCCAAGAAUCUGACAUUUGCAAGAAGAAAACGAAUACAACUGUUAAUGGAAAUGCCACAGCAAGCCUCUCUUUUGUUAUGUUAGGAUACAAAUGCAUUAAA